ACAUGGGUUAGUCGAUCCUA
rnacentral:snRNA from 1 species